rnacentral:rRNA from 1 species
UACGUAGGGGGCAAGCGUUGUCCGGAUUUAUUGGGCGUAAAGCGCGCGUAGGCGGCGCGGUAUGUCGUGCGUGAAAUCUCCCGGCUUAACUGGGAGGGGCCGUGCGAAACUGCCGGGCUUGAGGUCAGAAGGGGAAAGUGGAAUUCCGGGUGUAGUGGUGGAAUACGUAGAUAUCCGGAGGAACACCAGUGGCGAAGGCGGCUGCCUGGGCCUGGCCUGACGCUGAGGCGCGAAAGCGUGGGGAGCAAUCCGG